rnacentral:rRNA from 1 species
GACGAACGCUGGCGGCGUGCCUAAUACAUGCAAGUCGAACGCAGUGGGGACGGGUGAGUAACACGUGGGUAACCUCCCAUCAGAGGGGAUAACACUUGGAAACAGGUGCUAAACCGAUACUGAUGGAUGGGCCCGCGGUGCAUUAGCUAGUGGGUGAGGUAACGGCUAACCAAGGCCACGAUGCAUAGCCGACCGAGGAGGGGGUUCGGCCACACGGGGACUGAGACACGGCCCAGACUCCAACGGGGGGCAGAAUGAGGGAAUUUGCGGAAAGGGAGGAAAGUCUGACCGAGCAACGCGGCGUGAGUGAAGAAGGUUUUCGGUUCGUAAAGUUCUGUGGUUAGAGAAGCGGUAUCUAACCAGAAAGCCACGGCUAACUACGUGCCAGCAGCCGCGGUAAUAC